rnacentral:tRNA from 1 species
UCCCUAGUGGCCCAGUAGGUAGGACUCUGCACUUCCAAUGCAGGGGGCCUGGGUUUGAUCCCUGGUUGGGGAA